GGCGAACGGCUGAGUAACACGUGGGCAACCUGCCCUUUGCACUGGGAUAGCCUCGGGAAACCGAGGUUAAUACCGGAUACUCCAUAUUUGUCGCAUGGCGAAUAUGGGAAGCUCCGGCGGCAAAGGAUGGGCCCGCGGCCUGUUAGCUAGUUGGUGGGGUAGUGGCCUACCAAGGCAAUGAUGGGUAGCCGGGUUGAGAGACCGACCGGCCAGAUUGGGACUGAGACACGGCCCAGACUCCUACGGGAGGCAGCAGGC
rnacentral:rRNA from 1 species